UGGAGCAGGGGAAGAGUGAGGAGUCCUCCUCCUGAGGAGGAAGGAGCAGCAGAGACAAGGUGUGAUGAACUGACCCCAACCCCCGUUCCCUGUCCACCUGUGCUCCUGGAGGGGGAGGAGGU